rnacentral:rRNA from 1 species
ACGCUCGACACCUACUGGAGGCAGCAGUGGGGAAUAUUGCACAAUGGGGGAAACCCUGAUGCAGCGACGCCGCGUGAAGGAAGAAGUAUCUCGGUAUGUAAACUUCUAUCAGCAGGGAAGAAAAUGACGGUACCUGACUAAGAAGCCCCGGCUAACUACGUGUCAGCAGCCGCGGUAAUCUGAGCGGGCUGGCAAGGC